rnacentral:rRNA from 1 species
AGCUUUAGGAAUAGAUCUAAAGUUACUCCUGCCCAAUGUGUUUUUAUCAAUGGCCGCGGUACUUUGACCGUGCUAAGGUAGCGCAAUCAAUUGGCUCUUAAUUGGAGUCAGGUAUGAAUGGAGUUACGGGGUUCGGCUGUCUCCUAAUUAAUUUGUUGAAGUUACUAUAUAAGUGAAAAAGCUUAUAUAUAGAAAAAGGACGAGAAGACCCUUAGAGUUUGACCUAAUAUAAAAAAUUGAAAUGAAUUAUUUAUAAUGGUUUAGUUGGGGCAACAUGGGAGCAGCAAAAAAAUUAAUUAAUCUCCUAAAUUUUAUUAACCGAUUUUUUUAAAUGUGGAUAAACUACCUUAGGGAUAACAGCAUAAUUUUAAAAAUAAGUUUGUGACCUCGAUGUUGGACUAGGAAACUUAAAGGCUAGCCGUCUUUAAGGAGAGUUCUGUUCGAACUAUUAUUCCU